CAUUAAGAAGCUUAAAGUAAGCUAAAGUCUCUUAAACUUUUCAUUGGUAAUUUUACAUCUACCCUUAAUGA
rnacentral:tRNA from 1 species